UUAAUUGAAGCCAAAUAAGAGGCUUAUCACUGUUAAUGAUAAAACUGAAUAAUAUUCCAAUUAAAG
rnacentral:tRNA from 1 species